GCCCAGCUUGCUGGGCGGAUUAGUGGCGAACGGGUGAGUAAUACGUGAGUAACCUGCCCUUGACUCUGGGAUAAGCCUGGGAAACUGGGUCUAAUACUGGAUACUACCUCUCAUCGCAUGGUGGGGGGUGGAAAGGGUUUUACUGGUUUUGGAUGGGCUCACGGCCUAUCAGCUUGUUGGUGGGGUAAUGGCUCACCAAGGCGACGACGGGUAGCCGGCCUGAGAGGGUGACCGGCCACACUGGGACUGAGACACGGCCCAGACUCCUACGGGAGGCAGCAGUGGGGAAUAUUGCACAAUGGGCGAAAGCCUGAUGCAGCGACGCCGCGUGAGGGAUGACGGCCUUCGGGUUGUAAACCUCUUUCAGUAGGGAAGAAGCGAAAGUGACGGUACCUGCAGAAGAAGCGCCGGCUAACUACGUGCCAGCAGCCGCGGUAAUACGUAGGGCGCAAGCGUUGUCCGGAAUUAUUGGGCGUAAAGAGCUCGUAGGCGGUUUGUCGCGUCUGCUGUGAAAGCCCGGGGCUCAACCCCGGGUCUGCAGUGGGUACGGGCAGACUAGAGUGCAGUAGGGGAGACUGGAAUUCCUGGUGUAGCGGUGAAAUGCGCAGAUAUCAGGAGGAACACCGAUGGCGA
rnacentral:rRNA from 1 species